GUGUGUGAGCAAGCAAGGGAAAAAAUCGCACCAUUUUUCUCGUGCUCUUGCGUGCUUUUUUGGUCUUUUGAGAAGAGUUUAAUUGAAAAUGGAACGGAAAUAGACUAUGAUGAAUAUGUAAAAAGUAGUGCACUAAGUAGUCAACGAAGCGCCCGAAAAAUCAACUUAUAUACACACCGCUAUUAGUUAGUGCAAAAGUAAUUCAAAUUGCAAAAUUGAAUUCGGUCCUGGUGUGAGUGUGUGUAACUGUGUCUGUGAGUGCGUGCGUGCCAGUGUAUAAGUGAAAAAAUGAGGCGUAGUGAAAAUGCGUGCAAAACUGUCUAAAAGCUUGAUCUGAUUACGACCUCGCCUGCCCUUAUCGGGAAGCACCCGCAGAGAUGUGUUGUAAAUGUUUAAAACGCGCGCUGACCGGUUAAAUCUUUAUUAACAGAAUUUAACUACACCACAAGAAAGCGUUUUGUUUGUUGUUGAUUUUACGUUAUGUUGUUCUUUGCCGGCGCUAAAAUGUGAAAAAGAAAAAAUACAUACAUAGCAACAAAUUGAACAGAAAACAAUACUAUACACAGAAUUGCGCUUGAUUUGUUGGAGGAAAAUGUUAAAAAGUGUGAUCUUGUCAAAUUGUACAGGCAAAAGAAAUUGUAUAAAUAGAGAUAUUUAACGUAGAACAAAACUCCCUUCGAAACGUCCGAGUGUAAAAACAAAAUAGCCCGCCUUCUGACACAUACCUAAACACAGACACAUACACAUCCCCCUGAACCCCAUACAAAAUUUAAUAAUAUUUUCAUGAAAUUUCUACAAAAACAAUAGAAAUAAACCAUAAAAUUCGAAGAAAUGCUGCUCAAAUUUCAUAUUUAAUGUCAACCGACGACCUCACAGCAACAACAACAACAGCUGCUGCUAAAACGGGAAAAGGAACGGGAAUAACUGUAAGCUAGCACAGCCUAUAACGUGGGAGUGGGAGCGGGAGCGACGACGAUCGACGCACACCUGUACUCUUCAGCGGGAGAGCGGCCGGAGAGAGAUCCAGCGUAAACGCAAACGUAAACGUGUGUGUUGGCCGCAUGCGCGACAUGCGUGAACGUUAAGUGAGUGUGUGUGUGUACGUGCAUGUCCGUGCGUGUCCGUACAUCCGUGUCUCUCAGUGGCCCCGUACCCUGUAUCUGUAUCUGAUCCUACAGAUCCACCAGCAAGUCGCAUCUCGGAUCACUCUUACCGAUCAAAAUAACGCAAGCAGCAGCAGCAGAGGAAAGCAGCAGCCAGCACACCAAUCCAACAAUAGUUCCAGUUCCAUUUUGCCGAUAAAAAAAUUCGGUAUCAAAAUUCUAUAGAAAGUGAUUAAUAUUUUUUGAAUCGAAAUUCAAAAGGCUUUCGUCGGAGCAGCAGUCAUUGACAACCACAAAAAAUAAACAGAAACCAAGAUGCAGCGACGCGAACGGCAAGCUAGG